CAAACGAUGAUAGGUAAGGUAUCUCAAGCACUAGGGUGCGGCAGAGCCAGGGAGUGUCUUCAGUGCGAUCCUUUAUUUAAGCCCUCUCACUGCCUUUGCCUCACUGUGUGGACUCAUCCUUCGAAUCCAGACAGCAUCUGGGAGCCAACCAUACCUGUGUCCAGAUCUCUACACUCUAAAAUUUGAAAUGGAAUUUACUGCUUUGGAAAUAUCUGUGGCUGCCAUGUUUGGUGCCUUUGAGAUGAAUAAAGGUCAAGAUGGAAAACUGUCCAAACAACAGUUUUUGAGUUUACUGAAGCAGGAGCUGCCUCAUUUUGGUGGGGAAUCCAACGGAGAGGAUGUUUUCAACGCAGUGGACGUAAAUCAGGAUGGCUCUGUGGAGUUCAAGGAGUUUGCCUUGAUGGUCGCCACAUAUGCCUGCGCUAGCUAUGAUGUCCUCCAAGAGGCCGCCAAAAAUGCCUCUUAAAAGGCAUAGAUCUGUACUGCAUGUAUAAAAGCACUAUCGAUGGAAAAUAAAAAUAUUACAAUGUG